GACGAACGCUGGCGGCGUGCUUAACACAUGCAAGUCGAACGAUGAACCCGGAGCUUGCUCCGGUGGAUUAGUGGCGAACGGGUGAGUAACACGUGAGUAACCUGCCCUUGACUCUGGGAUAACUGCGGGAAACUGUAGCUAAUACCGGAUACGACCUUCGGCGGCAUCGCCAGGGGGUGGAAAGAAUUUCGGUCAAGGACGGACUCGCGGCCUAUCAGCUUGUUGGUGGGGUGAUGGCCUACCAAGGCGACGACGGGUAGCCGGCCUGAGAGGGUGACCGGCCACACUGGGACUGAGAUACGGCCCAGACUCCUACGGGAGGCAGCAGUGGGGAAUAUUGCACAAUGGGCGCAAGCCUGAUGCAGCGACGCCGCGUGAGGGAUGACGGCCUUCGGGUUGUAAACCUCUUUCAGCACCGACGAAGCGCAAGUGACGGUAGGUGCAGAAGAAGGACCGGCCAACUACGUGCCAGCCGCCGCCGUAA
rnacentral:rRNA from 1 species